GGCUGAACCAUACGCAGAUGGUGUGCAGAGUUGCGCUUGCGUAUAUGGAAGCUGCGGCAAUCAGGGUAGUCUCUUCUUGACAGAAUCAUGUUUGGAAGAAGCCAAAUGAAGGGUUAGAGGUAGGGCUGUGGGGCAGUAGUCACGCAGCGUGUGGCGACAGUGCUGCAUGCAGCGUUGUUUGUCCUGUUCCUCUCCUCCUCAGGCCGUUGCUGUUUGGCUUUGGAAGAAAAGAACAUGAUAGAGAGGCCCUCCGUCUGCUUUUCAGUCGAUCGGCAAGAGGAUUGUCUCUCUCCGCGUCGCCUGUGGGUCCGUCGCUACCGGUCUCUUAGUGUCCCUUCUCCUCUGUAAUUGGGUCACAUCGGCGUGACCUUGCUGAGAAGGAGUAGGCAUGUAAGAGCGUAGGGCUGGAGACGCAUGCGGGGGAGGGAGCGGCGUUUUUUUUGUCUCUUGUUUGGUCGAAGGAAGGCGUUGACGACAAUAGC
rnacentral:misc_RNA from 1 species